rnacentral:lncRNA from 1 species
CUCCAUAACCAAUGGCUUGGUCUGUGAGCUCACCAUUCGCCAGUCCUCCAGCCCCAGCUCCCUCCUCCUCCCCCUCCAUCAUUUGUCUCUGGUCCCCAGGAAGGCCUUGCAGCCCGGAGCUAUUGUGUGCUCUGGCUCUGGCAGACAGCCCCGCACAGGCCUCCCCGCCUCCCUGCUGGGCACACACCGCGGGGACAGCUUCUUUCGCCUCGCUCUCGGCGGCAGCUGUCGGCCCGCCCUCACCGGCCUCCAGUCGUUGCCUUUUAGGGCCGGGCUCGCCGUUUCCUUUGGGGAUAUGGCACGGGCCGCCGGUGUGAUUGGAAUCUAACCGACCAGGGUCCGCCAUCUUCCCACCGCCUAAGUAGGAGUCGCCCAUGGUAAGGGAGUGAAACGCAUCACGUGACGCGUCCUCCACCAAUGGCGGCGCCGCCUCGUGACGUCAACAAUAACAAACGCUGUCACAUGGAGAAAGCAGAGACUGUGGGCAAAGCUGGAUAUAGGAAGGGGACUGUGCUGUACCUCUACUGGGAGAGGGUCUACACCGGAUAUAGGAGGGGGACUGGCUGUACCUCUACUGGGAGAGGGUCUAUACCGGAUAUAGGAGGGGGACUGGCUGUACCUCUACUGGGAGAGGGUCUAUACCGGAUAUAGGAGGGGG